rnacentral:rRNA from 1 species
GGAAACGGUUGCUAAUACCCCAUAUGCUUUCGAGUGAAAUGGAUUUUUCCGCCUAGAGAGAAGCUUGCGCCUGAUUAGCUUGUUGGUAAGGUAAUGGCUUACCAAGGCGACGAUCAGUAUCUGGUUUGAGAGGACGAUCAGACACACUGGAACUGAGACACGGUCCAGACUCCUACGGGAGGCAGCAGUGGGGAAUUUUCCGCAAUGGGCGAAAGCCUGACGGAGCAAUCUCGCGUGAGGGAUGACGGCCUAUGGGUUGUAAACCUCUUUCUUCAGGGAUGAAUAAAAUGACGUGUACCUGAAGAAUAAGCAUCGGCUAACUCCGUGCCAGCAGCCGCGGUAAGACGGAGGAUGCAAGUGUUAUCCGGAAUCACCGGGCGUAAAGCGUCUGUAGGUGGUUUAGUAAGUCAACUGUUAAAUCUUGAAGCUUAACUUCAAAAUCGCAGUCGAAACUGCUAGACUAGAGUAUAGUAGGGGUAAAGGGAAUUUCCAGUGGAGCGGUGAAAUGCGUAGAGAUUGGAAAGAACACCGAUGGCGAAGGCACUUUACUGGGCUAUUACUGACACUCAGAGACGAAAGCUAGGGUAGCAAAUGGGAUUAGAUACCCCAGUAGUC